rnacentral:sRNA from 1 species
GCUGGGUGCUGUGGUGCAUGCCUGUAAUCCCAGAGGCUUAGGAGGCUGAGGCAGGGGGAUCAUGAGUUCCAAGCCAGCCUUAGCAACUUAGUAAGGCCCUAAGCAACUCAGUGAGACCCUGUCUCUA